rnacentral:rRNA from 1 species
UACGUAGGGUGCGAGCGUUGUCCGGAAUUAUUGGGCGUAAAGAGCUCGUAGGCGGUCUGUCGCGUCGGUCGUGAAAACUUGGGGCUUAACCCUGAGCUUGCGGUCGAUACGGGCAUGACUGGAGUUCGGUAGGGGAGACUGGAAUUCCUGGUGUAGCGGUGAAAUGCGCAGAUAUCAGGAGGAACACCGGUGGCGAAGGCGGGUCUCUGGACAGUUCCUGACGCUGAGGCACGAAGGCCAGGGGAGCAAACGGG